AAAGAAAAGAUGAUUGAUUUAUACUAGAUGUAAAGACAAAAUUCUUCACUUAGAGGAUGGUGAGGCCUUGGCACAGGUUGCCCAGAGAAGCUGUGGAUGCCCCAUUCCUGGAAGUGUUCAAGACCAGGCUGGAUGGGGCUUUGGGCAACCUGGUCUGGUGGGAGGUGUCCCUGCCCUUGGCAGGGAGGUUGGAACUGGGUGGUCUUUAAGGUGCCUUCCAACUCAAACCAUUCUGUGAUUCUAGAUCAUCCACUGUAACAAUUCAUUCUGUGAGAAAGCUAAACAAAGGGAACAAAUCUAUAGGAUCAUUAGUUCUCUAAGCCCUAGCUUUAUGAUGUAUUACUG